rnacentral:rRNA from 1 species
UCUGCAUGGGGGCACCCUGACCGCCUGCCGCGUGAGUGAUGAAGGCCUUCGGGUUGUAAAGCUCUUUUGGCGGGGACGAUGAUGACGGUACCCGCAGAAUAAGCCCCGGCUAACUUCGUGCCAGCAGCCGCGGUAAGACGAAGGGGGCUAGCGUUGUUCGGAAUUACUGGGCGUAAAGCGCGUGUAGGCGGUUUUCCAAGUUGGGUGUGAAAGCCUUGGGCUUAACCCAAGAAAUGCACUCAGUACUGGAAGACUAGAGGACCGGAGAGGAUAGUGGAAUUCCCAGUGUAGUGGUGAAAUACGUAGAGAUUGGGAAGAACACCAGUGGCGAAGGCGGCUAUCUGGACGGUUUCUGACGCUAAGACGCGAAA